rnacentral:rRNA from 1 species
UACAGAGGGUGCAAGCGUUGUUCGGAAUUAUUGGGCGUAAAGGGCGCGUAGGCGGUGCCACAAGUCACCUGUGAAAUCUCCGGGCUUAACUCGGAGCCUGCAGGCGAAACUGUGGUGCUGGAGUGUGGGAGAGGGACGCGGAAUUCCAGGUGUAGCGGUGAAAUGCGUAGAUAUCUGGAGGAACACCGGUGGCGAAGGCGGCGUCCUGGACCAACACUGACACUGAGGAGCGAAAGCCAGGGGAGCAAACGGG